GGAUUUUGGAUCAACUGUGAAGAUUUUGUAUGGAGCUGUUUUGGGAAAGAAAAUCUUCUACCACAUGAUCUUCAGAGGAACUGAUUACUGGCAAUUUGGAGGAGGACUGCUCUUUAUCUGCUGUGUCUGUCACUUCCGGAG